rnacentral:rRNA from 1 species
CCAAUAGCGUAUAUUAAAGUUGCUGCAGUUAAAAAGCUCGUAGUUGAAUUUCGGGGUCAAUAUGUUGGUCGUGCCUUGGUACGUACUAGCUUAUUGAUUUCUCCUUUCUGACGAACCAUGAUGUCAUUAAUUUGGUGUCAUGGGGAGUCAGGACUGUUACUUUGAAAAAAUUAGAGUGUUUAAAGCAGGCUCGCGCUUGAAUACAUUAGCAUGGAAUAAUGAAAUAGGACAUUUGAUUCUAUUUUGUUGGUUUCUAGGAUCGAUGUAAUGAUUAAUAGGGAUAGUUGGGGGCAUUAGUAUUCAAUUGUCAGAGGUGAAAUUCUUGGAUUUAUUGAAGACUAACUACUGCGAAAGCAUUUGCCAAGGAUGUUUUCAUUAAUCAAGAACGAAAGUUAGGGGAUCGAAGACGAUCAGAUACCGUCGUAGUCUUAACCAUAAACUAUGCCGACUAGGGAUCGGAUGAUGUUAAUUUUUUAAUGACUCAUUCGGCGCCUUACG